rnacentral:lncRNA from 1 species
GCCGGGGAAAAGUUGCGCGUGGUAGUGCAGAGGAACGUCGGCGGGUGAAUUCAGAUAGAGCCCUUGGAAAGAUGAUUCCCAAAAGUAUUAUUUUCGGAUAUAAAGACUACGCUGUAUCAACAAAAAACGGAUUGCAACUUGCAAAACAUGCGGGAAGAAAAUUACAGACGGAUGCGCAACAACUUCCAACUUUGUUCGAUAUUUGAAGCUGCACAAAGAACAGACCUGAGCCAGAGGACCAUGCCUCAGGACUACCUGGCCUGAUGACUCCUUGCUGUCCCCAGUCCACCUGGUCGUGCUGCCGCUCUAGUUUCAACUGUUC